rnacentral:lncRNA from 1 species
CAAGUUAUAACUGACUUAGCAAAGUCAUGUUAUUUAUUAAUCGAAAAACAGAAGCAGUUAUAUUUUAUUAGUGCUACUAAAAGUCGAGGAUUUAUUCCGACUGCAACGCAGAUUAAAUCUACGGAUUUAAUUUAAGUUAUAUUACAGUUUAUCAAGUUAGCAGGCAAGGAAAAAGAUAUCAAGCUAGAUGAUUUUUAUUAGUAACUUCAAUACUUUACAAUCAUCAUUAUUCUUUCCACUCCCUAAUGUCUCCUACACUAUCAACAUACCAUAGCAUAAUUUAGACCUCAAGCAUGAAGCAUGUAUAUACGUUGACCACAUGAGUAACAUCAUAAGCCUCUUUCAUACAUAGCAUAAUCAAUCAAGAAGACAACCAAAUCAAUUAGCAAAAGCAAAAGCUCUUCAAUCACCAACUCCACUCCACCAACUCCACUCAAUUAUUCAUUCCCUUUAUACUAUCAGCCACCACCCUUUGCUCCCCACCCAACAAAUGCAAUCAGCCAACAAAUACAGUUUUCACUCUCAACUCAUCUCAUCCAAAAGAGAAUCAAAGAAUAGCCCAGCUCAUUCAGCCGAAGCUCACAAGGUAAGGCUGGGCUUCAAUGAUUUCAUUCCAUUUGAUUAGCACCUGCAUUAACACAAGAAUCAUUCAUUUCCUCUUUGCCAGGAACCUUAAGUUCAGUUACUCCAGUUCAACAAACAACAAUAUUUAACCAACAACACAUUUCAAGGUAUUGAUUCUAUUUCAAAUACCAUUCCAGUAAGCAUUCAUAUUAAAGCAUGAGCACGAUCAGUUUCAGUUUUAAUUAUAGAAGACCUUAUAGACAUCUUGAACUUAGUAAACACCCAACUAUGCGAUUGAGCAAGUGACAGUCUUAUGUAGUUUUAAUCGAGCACAAAUUGAGAUGUAAGCAAAACAAAGAGAGAUUACACCUCGUCCAGUUCACAUUUACGAAUCGUUUAAGUCGAAAUGAGGGAGUUACUUAGCUUUAAAGGAGAGAAGGGCUGACUGCCCGAUGAUGACGACGACGGUCGGGACAGGGCGAACUCGCCCAAUCUCAUCAGAGCCCCGAACAGCAGCUGCCCGGCGACGAGCUGAGACCCGUGCGCAGCAGCAGCGGUCGCUCGCCGGAUUCAGACAAGGAGUCGGCGGCGGCAAAGAUUUCCAGGAUUCAGGACUCGAUUGGGUCGUCGCGUAAGAAAUAGAAAAGAGAUAGGGCGGCGUUAGGACCAGACGCGUCGGCAGCCGACGCAGGACGAAGUAAAUGGCGGCUGAACGACUGGAGAGGAGGAGGCCGGAGCAGCGCCGCUCCCAGACGACAGCAGCCCGUCGGAUUUCGGACGAGGAUGCGGCCGCAGCAGCGACCUGGUAUUUGACGAUUAGGGCUCUGCGAUGAAGAGGAAAGGGCGGCGCUGGAAUAGACGCGUAGAAGAAUGACGCCGGUGAUAGCAGACGAUGGCUGGACGGCCGGAGUAGGCGGAACCGACCGGAUUUUGAGAGGAGCCGAGCGAACAGGCUGGAGAGGAAGGGGCUGGGCGGCGUCUGGUUCGAGUUUUUGAGAGAGGAGAGGGAUCGUGAAGCUGAGAACGGCGGCCGACCGUCGGAUUCACAGCAGGAGCAGCGGCGGAGCUCACGAGGCAGCCGUGAAUCGAGAGAGAGAGAUCG